CGGAAAUAGCUCAGUUGGUAGAGCACAACCUUGCCAAGGUUGGGGUCGCGGGUUCGAGUCCCGUUUUCCG
rnacentral:tRNA from 3 species